rnacentral:rRNA from 1 species
AAGUCUGGUGCCAGCAGCCGCGGUAAUUCCAGCUCCAAUAGCGUAUAUUAAAGUUGUUGCAGUUAAAAAGCUCGUAGUUGAAUUUCGGGGUUAGUAGGCUGGUUAUGCCACUGGUAUGUACUGGUCUUACUGAUUCCUCCUUCCUGAUGAACUGUAAUGCCAUUAAUUUGGUGUUGCAGGGAGUCUGGACUGUUACUUUGAAAAAAUUAGAGUGUUUAAAGCAGGCUAACGCUUGAAUACAUUAGCAUGGAAUAAUGAAAUAGGACGUUCGAUCCUAUUUUGUUGGUUUCUAGGAUUGACGUAAUGAUUAAUAGGGAUAGUUGGGGGCAUUAGUAUUCAAUUGUCAGAGGUGAAAUUCUUGGAUUUAUUGAAGACUAACUACUGCGAAAGCAUUUGCCAAGGAUGUUUUCAUUAAUCAAGAACGAAAGUUAGGGGAUCGAAGACGAUCAGAUACCGUCGUAGUCUUAACCAUAAACUAUGCCGACUAGGGAUCGGAUGAUGUUAAUUUUUUAAUGACUCAUUCGGCGCCUUACGGGAAACCAAAGUGUUUGGGU